rnacentral:rRNA from 1 species
UGCAGUCGAACGGUCUACCCUGACAGAAACCUUCGGGUUGAAGACAGGACUAGAUAGUGGCGGACGGGUGAGUAACACGUGAAUAAUCUGUCCUCAAGUCUGGGAUAACCUGGCGAAAGUCGGGCUAACCCCGGAUAAGCUGAGAGUGUGGCAUCACACAAUCAGAAAAGGUGCCUUUUGGCAUCGUUUGAGGAGGAGUUCGCGGUAGAUUAGCCAGCUGGUAAGGUAAAGGCUUACCAGGGCAACAAUCUAUAGCUGGUCUGAGAGGACGAUCAGCCACACUGGAACUGAGACACGGUCCAGACUCCUACGGGAGGCAGCAGUGGGGAAUCUUCCACAAUGGGCGCAAGCCUGAUGGAGCAACGCCGCGUGAGUGAAGACGGUCUUCGGAUUGUAAAGCUCUGUCCUUAGGGAAGAACCGUGGGUAUAGCAAAUGAUACCCAUCUGACGGUACCUUUGGAGGAAGCACUGGCUAACUACGUGCCAGCAGCCGCGGUAAUACGUAGAGUGCAAGCGUUGUCCGGAAUUAUUGGGCGUAAAGGGUACGCAGGCGGAUAAUCAAGUCAAGCGUGAAAGGUGUCGGCUUAACCGACAGACUGCGUUUGAAACUGGUUAUCUUGAGUGUAACAGAGGAGA